AUUUUAUUUUCUUGCAUAUCCCGGGACAUACAUGCAUGCAUUAAUUUUGUUCCUAAAUUUUAUACUAACUUGUUUUUUAAGUGUUUUUAUUUUGUAGGUAAAGCUAAUGGGAGACGAGAGGAUCCGCGGAUAUCCGUCGAAGGAUAUCCCAUAAUAGGGAGUAUCUCCUACUUUUUCUUUUAAUUUACGCUUUCCAUUAGUUUUAUUUUCUUGCAUAUCCCGGGACAUACAUGCAUGCAUUAAUUUUGUUCCUAAAUUUUAUACUAACGGUUUUUUUAUUGUUUUUAUUUUGUAGGUAAAGCUUAUGGGAGACGAGAGGAUCCGCGGAUAUCCUUCGAAGUCGAAGGAUAUCCCAUAAUAGGGAGUAUCUCCUACUUUUUCUUUUAAUUUACGCUUUCCAUUAGUUUUAUUUUCUUGCAUAUCCCGGGACAUACAUGCAUGCAUUAAUUUUGUUCCUAAAUUUUAUACUAACGGUUUUUUUAUUGUUUUUAUUUUGUAGGUAAAGCUAAUGGGAGACGAGAGGAUCCGCGGAUAUCCGUCGAAGGAUAUCCCAUAAUAGGGAGUAUCUCCUACUUUUUCUUUUAAUUUACGCUUUCCAUUAGUUUUAUUUUCUUGCAUAUCCCGGGACAUACAUGCAUGCAUUAAUUUUGUUCCUAAAUUUUAUACUAACGGUUUUUUUAUUGUUUUUAUUUUGUAGGUAAAGCUUAUGGGAGACGAGAGGAUCCGCGGAUAUCCUUCGAACUCGAAGGAUAUCCCAUAAUAGGGAGUAUCUCCUACUUUUUCUUUUAAUUUACGCUUUCCAUUAAUUUUAUUUUCUUGCAUAUCCCGGGACAUACAUGCAUGCAUUAAUUUUGUUCCUAAAUUUUAUACUAACGGUUUUUUAAUUGUUAUUAUUUUGUAGGUAAAGCUAAUGGGAGACGAGAGGAUCCGCGGAUAUCCGUCGAAGGAUAUCCCAUAAUAGGGAGUAUCUCCUACUUUUUCUUUUAAUUUACGCUUUCCAUUAGUUUUAUUUUCUUGCAUAUCCCGGGACAUACAUGCAUGCAUUAAUUUUGUUCCUAAAUUUUAUACUAACGGUUUUUUUAUUGUUUUUAUUUUGUAGGUAAAGCUUAUGGGAGACGAGAGGAUCCGCGGAUAUCCUUCGAACUCGAAGGAUAUCCCAUAAUAGGGAGUAUCUCCUACUUUUUCUUUUAAUUUACGCUUUCCAUUAAUUUUAUUUUCUUGCAUAUCCCGGGACAUACAUGCAUGCAUUAAUUUUGUUCCUAAAUUUUAUACUAACGGUUUUUUAAUUGUUUUUAUUUUGUAGGUAAAGCUUAUGGCAGACGAGAGGAUCCGCGGAUAUCCAUCGAAUUCGAAGGAUAUCCCAUAAUAGGGAGUAUCUCCUACUUUUUCUUUUAAUUUACGCUUUCCAUUAAUUUUAUUUUCUUGCAUAUCCCGGGACAUACAUGCAUGCAUUAAUUUUGUUCCUAAAUUUUAUACUAACGGUUUUUUAAUUGUUUUUAUUUUGUAGGUAAAGCUUAUGGGAGACGAGAGGAUCCGCGGAUAUCCUUCGAACUCGAAGGAUAUCCCAUAAUAGGGAGUAUCUCCUACUUUUUCUUUUAAUUUACGCUUUCCAUUUAUUUUAUUUUCUUGCAUAUCCCGGGACUUGCAUGCAUUAAUUUUGUACCUAAAUUUUAUACUAACUUGUAUUUUAAGUGUUUUUAUUUUGUAGGUAAAGCUUAUGGGAGACGAGAGGAUCCGCGGAUAUCCUUCGAACUCGAAGGAUAUCCCAUAAUAGGGAGUAUCUCCUACUUUUUCUUUUAAUUUACGCUUUCCAUUUAUUUUAUUUUCUUGCAUAUCCCGGGACUUGCAUGCAUUAAUUUUGUUCCUAAAUUUUUUACUAACUUGUUUUUUAAGUGUUUUUAUUUUGUAGGUAAAGCUUAUGGGAGACGAGAGGAUCCGCGGAUAUCCUUCGAACUCGAAGGAUAUUGACCGAACCCAUAAUAGAGAGUAUCUCCUACUUUUUCUUUUAAUCUACGCUUUCCAUUUAUUUUAUUUUCUUGCAUAUAGUAAUAGAAUCAUCUUUACGUCCCGGGACUUGCAUGUUUUAAUUUUGUUCCUAAAUUUUAUACUAACUUGUUUUUUAGUAUUUUUAAUUUGUAGGUAAAGCUUGUGUGGAGACGAUAGGAUCCGCAAAGAUCCUUCGAUCUCGAUUUCAAAUCGAAGAUGCAUACGAGAGGGAGUGGCCGGACGAUCGGACGUCCGAAUACAUCAUAGGGAGUAAUUCGUCCAUUUGCUUUUACAUUUAUGCAUUGAAUUUAAUUUAGCAUUAUGCAUAUAGAAAUAUAUUUACUUUUA